CCCUUAGAUGUUCUGGGCCGCACGCGUGCUACACUGAGCGGGCCAACGGGUGAGGAUGUGCGAAAGCGCUUCCCAAUCUCGAAAUCCGUUCGUGCUGGGGAUAGAAGCUUGCAAUUAUCCUUCUUGAACGAGGAAUACCUUGUAAGCGUGAGUCAUCAUCUCACGCUGAAUACGUCCCUGCCCUUUGUACACACCGCCCGUCGCUCCUACCGAUUGAGUGUUCCGGUGAGGCUUUGGGAGAAUGGCCUCAACAUGAGUUUAUCGUGUUUUGCCGUUUGAACUUAGUCAAACCUUAUCACUUAGAGGAAGGAGAAGUCGUAACA
rnacentral:rRNA from 1 species